rnacentral:rRNA from 1 species
UAGUACGUGAAACCGUUCAGGGGUAAACCUGAGAAACCCGAAAGUUCGAAUGAGAAGAUUCAAUAUCUUACAUUUGGUCGACCACUACUUAUUUAUGUGAUAAUUUUUAAUGACUUGUCAUUAAUAUUACACUAAUUUGUUUUGAGAUUUGGCUAUGGAGGUAUGCACUUCUUCUCUAGUAGGACGUUGCAACCCAUUGGAUGUUAAUCUAAGGUCCCUUAUGGUAGCCUAUUUUAUAUAUAUUUCGGUAUAUGUGAUUUAGACCUUAGGUGUUUGCCUGAUUAACUUGUUCGAUGGUAUAUCAUAAUAUUGGGCCGCCUAAAUUGGGCAUUCAAACUAUAUUCAAGUGUGUACGGGUAAAUUUUGGAUAACAGACCUAGUGCUGUUACUAAAACCGUUAUACUGUUAGAAUUUAGUAUAUUGAAUAGACUCUUUAUAUUGGUUAGCAACGCUUUAGCUUUGGGUACUUUCAGGACCCGUCUUGAAACACGGACCAAGGA